rnacentral:rRNA from 1 species
AACGAACGCUGGCGGCAUGCCUAACACAUGCAAGUCGAACGAGACCUUCGGGUCUAGUGGCGCAUGGGUGCGUAACGCGUGGGAAGCUGCCCUUAGGUUCGGAAUAACUCGCCGAAAGGGGUGCUAAUACCGGAUAAGGUCUUCGGACCAAAGAUUUAUCGCCUUUGGAUGGGCCCGCGUUGGAUUAGCUAGUUGGUAGGGUAAAAGCCUACCAAGGCGACGAUCCAUAGCUGGUCUGAGAGGAUGAUCAGCCACACUGGGACUGAGACACGGCCCAGACUCCUACGGGAGGCAGCAGUGGGGAAUAUUGGAAAAUGGGCGAAAGCCUGAUCCAGCAAUGCCGCGUGAGUGAUGAAGGCCUUAGGGUUGUAAAGCUCUUUUACCCGGGAUGAUAAUGACAGUACCGGGAGAAUAAGCUCCGGCUAACUCCGUG